UGGGGAAUUUUGGACAAUGGGGGCAACCCUGAUCCAGCCAUGCCGCGUGAGUGAAGAAGGCCUUCGGGUUGUAAAGCUCUUUCGGCCGGGAAGAAAUCGCAUGGGCUAAUACCCUGUGUGGAUGGCGGUACCGGAAUAAGAAGCACCGGCUAACUACGUGCCAGCAGCCGCGGUAAUACGUAGGGUGCGAGCGUUAAUCGGAAUUACUGGGCGUAAAGCGUGCGCAGGCGGUUUAGUAAGACAGGCGUGAAAUCCCCGGGCUCAACCUGGGAACUGCGCUUGUGACUGCUAAGCUAGAGUACGGCAGAGGGGGGUGGAAUUCCACGUGUAGCAGUGAAAUGCGUAGAGAUGUGGAGGAACACCGAUGGCGAAGGCAGCCCCCUGGGCCGAUACUGACGCUCAUGCACGAAAGCGUGGGUAGCAAACAGGAUUAGAUACCCU
rnacentral:rRNA from 1 species